rnacentral:rRNA from 1 species
UACGUAGGGGGCGAGCGUUGUCCGGAAUUACUGGGCGUAAAGGGUGCGUAGGUGGCUUGUUAAGUUGGAUGUGAAAUCUCCGGGCUCAACUUGGGUGGUGCAUUCAAAACUGGCGAGCUAGAGUGCAGGAGAGGGAAGCGGAAUUCCUAGUGUAGCGGUGAAAUGCGUAGAUAUUAGGAGGAACACCAGUGGCGAAGGCGGCUUUCUGGACUGUAACUGACACUGAGGCACGAAAGCGUGGGGAGCAAACAGGAUUAGAUACCCUGAUUGUCCUCGCUGUAAACGAUGAAUACUAGGUGUAGGGGGUAUGAACUCCACCUGUGCCGCAGUUAACGCAAUAAGUAUUCCGCCUGGGGAGUACGGCCGCAAGGUUGA